rnacentral:pre_miRNA from 1 species
CUUGUACUCACUCCGUCCGAAAAUACUUGUCAUUGAAAUGGAUGUAUCUAGAUGUAUUUUAGUUUUAGACACAUCCAUUUUGAUGACAAGUAAUUCCGGACGGAGGGAGUACUUG